rnacentral:tRNA from 1 species
CGGUGAUUAGCGCAGCUUGGUUUGGGUCCAAGGGGUCGCAAGUUCGAAUCUUGCAUCACCGACCA